rnacentral:lncRNA from 1 species
CUGUGUGUUUGUGUGUGUGUGUAUCCAGUGUGUGUGUGUGUGUGUGUAUCCAGUGUGUGUGUGUGUGUGUGUGUGUGUGUGUGUGUAUCCAGUGUGUUUGUGUGUGUGUAUCCAGUGUGUGUGUCAAGCGUGUGUGUGUGUCAAGCGUGUGUGUCCAGUGUGUGUGUGUGUGUCCAGUGAGUGUGUGUGUGUCCAGUGAGUGUGUGUGUGUCCAUGUGUGUGUGUGUGUGUGUGUGUGUGUGUGUGUGUUCAGUGUGUGUGUGUGUGUGUGUGUGUCCAGUGUGUAUGUGUGUGUGUGUGUCCAGUGUGUGUGUGUUGAGUGUGUGUGUCCAGUGUGUAUUUAUGUGUGUGUCCAGUGUGUGUGUGUCCA